GCGGAUUCGAGGCGCCGGAGCGCGCGGCCGGGUCAGGCCCGGCCGGCGGUCAUCGACAGCAUCGCCGGGUCGAUGCCGUUGGCCCGCA
rnacentral:tRNA from 1 species